rnacentral:rRNA from 1 species
GGGUCAGUAGGUUGGUCGUGCCAUCGGUACGUACUGGUCUCACUGAUUCCUCCUUCCUGAAGAACCGUAAUGCCAUUAAUUUGGUGUUGCGGGGAAACAGGACUGUUACUUUGAAAAAAUUAGAGUGUUUAAAGCAAGCUAACGCUUGAAUACAUUAGCAUGGAAUAAUGGAAUAGGACGAUCGAUCCUAUUUUGUUGGUUUCUAGGAUUGACGUA